UACGUAGGGUGCAAGCGUUGUCCGGAAUUAUUGGGCGUAAAGCGCGCGCAGGCGGCCGAUUAAGUCUGGUGUUUAACCCCGGGGCUCAACCCCGGGUCGCACUGGAAACUGGUUGGCUUGAGUACAGAAGAGGAAAGUGGAAUUCCACGUGUAGCGGUGAAAUGCGUAGAGAUGUGGAGGAACACCAGUGGCGAAGGCGACUUUCUGGGCUGAAACUGACGCUGAGGAGCGAAAGCGUGGGGAGCAAACAGG
rnacentral:rRNA from 1 species